rnacentral:rRNA from 1 species
UUACGCUGGCGGCGCGCAUAACACAUGCAAGUCGAGCGAGGGCUUAUUUCUCGCAAGAGAGAUAAGUUCCUAGCGGCGAACGGGUGAGUAACACGUGGGCAACCUUUCCUAUCGCGGGGGAUAACACCGGGAAACCGAUGCUAAUACCGCAUGUCGUCACCGGUCGCAUGGCUGGUGAAAAAAGCAGCAAUGCACGAUGGGGUGGGCCCGCGGCCUAUCAGCUAGUCGGUGGGGUAACGGCCUACCGAGGCGAUGACGGGUUGCUGGUCUGAGAGGACGGCCAGCCACACGGGGACUGAGACACGGCCCCGACUCCUACGGGAGGCAGCAGUGAGGAAUCUUCCGCAAUGGGCGAAAGCCUGACGGAGCGACGCCGCGUGUGGGAUGAAGUCUUUCGGGAUGUAAACCACUGUCGGAGGGGAAGACAUCGACGGUACCUCCAAGAAAGCCCCGGCUAACUACGUGCCAGCAGCCGCGG